rnacentral:rRNA from 1 species
UACGUAGGGGGCAAGCGUUGUCCGGAUUUAUUGGGCGUAAAGAGCGUGUAGGCGGCCGUACAGGUCAGCUGUGAAAACUCGAGGCUCAACCUCGAGACGUCGGUUGAAACCGUACGGCUAGAGUCCGGAAGAGGAGAGUGGAAUUCCCGGUGUAGCGGUGAAAUGCUCAGAUAUCGGGAAGAACACCCGUGGCGAAGGCGGCUCUCUGGGACGGUACUGACGCUGAGACGCGAAAGCGUGGGGAGCGAACAGG